rnacentral:lncRNA from 1 species
GGAGCCUCAAGAUUUCUGUCGUGGCCUCUGCCUUUCCAGGUGUUGUAUAACAUCGUUUUCCUCUAUGCCAAGAAGGAGAAAUGGAAGAAGGCCGAAGAACAACUCACACUGGCCACCAACAUGAAGUCUGAGCCCAGGCACUCCAAAAUCGACAAGGCGAUGGAAAGCUUCUGGGUAGGUGUGUCGGGAGGGGAGGUUUCCACAGUUCUCACUGUGUCAGGGCUGUCUGAGUCUGGGCAGCCCUGCUCCACGCUCAGCAUGAGGCCAUUUAAGCUCUUGAAUCUGGGCCGAGAAGCCAAGGACAAGAGCACAGGGUGGCAGAGCCCUUGAACCCCUUGGCACCCCUGGGUGGUAGGAUGUUGGAGGCUGAGCAGUGCUGUAAGGGCAGAGGCUGCUUGCUUUUGAGUCCUAGCAGCCUGGCACAGAGCCAGGUACAAAAUGGCCCUCCACAAAAUGUCUUGAUUACAGGAAUAAAUGGUAAAAGUGAAUGAUAGUCUGAGCACAUUGGGAAUGAAGUUUUAAAUAGGAUUUUUUUGGUGGGACAGGUACUGGGGAUUUAAUCCAGGAGCACUUCACCACUGAGCUACAUCCCCCAGCCCUUUCUUUCUAUUCUUUUCUUUUUUUCUUGUUUUUUUCUUUUUAAUUUUGAAACAGGGUCUCCCAAAGUUGCUUAGGGACUCUCCUUUUCCUCCGAUAUACCAGUCUGCUACUGGCUUUGCUUCCUUUCCCAUCCCAGAUACAAUCUAGCUUGAUCUCUUGAACCCUUUACUUGCUGGUUUCCUCAACUUUUCUGUCUCCUUGUAAACAGCUGUGCUGGACGACAUCCCUGGCUGGAUCAGCUUUCUGUCCUUCACCUGGGAUGCUCAGGGGUGCUGCAGUUCACACAGUUGAUGGGUUGUUGCCAGGCUGGACUGGCUACCUGACUUGUGGGGACCAGUGUGAAAUGAACGUGUAGGGCUCUUGUUUAAAAACUUCAAGAAUUUCAAAAUGGUGACCGCAGGUUAUUAAACCAAGUGAGGAAUGCUUUUAAGCAUGGGUUCUUGUGCUUGAUCAUAAGUGUGGUCCCCACCUUCACACAGCAUCCAGGACUAUGCAUGUGAUCAUCCUGGAGUCUCAGAACUGCCGACUCCUCUGCCCUCCCCAUGGGCCUGCCACCACUUCUGUCCUUAGUUAUCCACCCCCACCCCCCACCUCAUGUGCAUGCUGGCAGGCCCUCUCAUGUGAAAGGGAAAGGUUGGGGUUCCCACCAUGUGAAAGCCACCAGGAGCAAUGUGGCAUUGAAGCCAGAUUUAAAGAUAGGUAGUUAGUGUAGUUAGGUAAAUCGGGUCUAAUAUCGAGUAAAAUCGAAAAUGAAGGCCAGAAUGAAGGCCAUAUUGAGAAAGGAGCCCAGGAAAGCAGAGCAGCACUUGGGGAAAUUGAAAUGUUAAUGUUCCCAAGGCCCAGAGCCCAUUCUAAGGCAAUGUUAAUGAAGCAGCUCGCAGCAAACAGGGAAGUGCUAAUAGAAAGCCUCCCCAGGCCCUUCCUGCCCAGAUUACUCCUCUGGCCCAUCUGUCCCUCACCUUUGGGCUUUCCCACCUACAUUCUAACACUGCAAGAUAACAGAACAAAGGACAGGACUGCGGGAAAGCUGAAUGAAGACCUUAGCUAUAAAAGAGGGAAGACCUCCCCCUUCCAUGGAUUCACCUCUUGGGUCCCCUUCUUCCUCCCAGAAGAAGUCUUUUCUGCUGUCCUUUAAUAAAGCUUCUACUUUUUACUCUAAACUUGCCUCUGAGUGCUUCUCUGGUGUUAUACUUCUGCAUCUGGGAAGUAAGGACUGGUAAACAGCGGUAACAGCGUGGUAGACAAGGACCCAGAAUCUCUGUUAUCAGUGGUCCCUUCUGAGGCUGGGUCUUCAGCUGCACAUAGGAUGAUAAAACUACCCAGCUUUUCGAGAAGCAAAAGUCACUCGGCUAUUCUCCGACAAUACCUUCUUACUUGAACUUCAUCUUCUAUUUCUGAGGGCAGGAGCGGGAGAGGAUUUUGUUCCCCUUGCUCAGUGCUAGCCGCGUGCUCCCUGGGCAUCCCCCACUAUUUCUUUGCCCAGUGAAACCUUUAACACCCUCGGGGUCCUGGUCUCAUAGGUAAGGUUACCGUGGCACUGAGUUGAGACACACAGUUAAAAAGCUAGUCAGAUCCUUGCAUUUGAAUCCAAGGAUCUGACUCUUCAACACCUGAAUAGGACAGUCCCCAAACUUCUCCUAAUGACAGGAUCCUCUGCCUAGACUCCAAACUGGCCAAAGUAGUGAUAGUGGUACAUUAAGAGAUGAAAACAUCACUCAGAACCCCUAAAAAAAAGGCCUUCUCCAACAAAGAGUGACUUCCAAGCAUCUCUCCCUGAAAAAAAGAAGGCCAGAAACCACUGGACCCUACCUGGCUUAAAGGGUUGUGCAUUGAUAUCAAUAUCCACAGGUUCAGGAAGGGAGCUGGAAAUAAUGAGGAUAACCACUUUUCCACAACUGCCCCCCACAAGGCCCUUUCCAGUGCCAGGUCUGUAGCAUCCAACUUUCAAAAUAUCCCCCAUCCCUUACACCACAGGUCCCUGUGGUGGUGGUGGUGUGGCAUACUUUUUAAAAAUAAUAAUUGUUAAGAGUUAUACUCUGAAAUAUUAAUGGGGGAAUCAAAAUGGCACUUGGGGAUUUUUCUUCAACUAAUAUGGUGGGUGGUGGCGGUGUUAUAUAAAACAAGACUGAAUGUGAAUGGUUGCUCUGUCUUGCUGAUGGGUGUAUGUGAGCUUGCUGUACUAUUUUACCUAUGUUUUCAUUUAUCUGAGUUUCUCUGUAGUAAAAGAUUUUUAGCAGACUGUGGUGGCAUAUGCCUCUAAUCUCAGUGAUUUGGGAGGCUGAGGCAGGAAUGUGAGUUCAAAGCCAGGUUUAGCGAGACCCUGUUUCAAAAUAAAAUAUAAAAAUGGCUUGGGAUGUGGCUCAGUGGUUAAGCACACCUGGGUUCAAUCCCCAGUACCAAAAAAAAAAAAAAAGAUUUUUAGAAAUAGACAUGAAAAUGGAGGACAGUAAACUCAAGAGCUCUGUGUAUAUUAGAGUGGGGGAGGGCAACAUCUCUGCUUUUCUAAACCUUGCAGUGACAGUUUAUUCCAAGAACAAUGGGUUCCAGUUUCUAGUUUUUCUGCUCUGAGCUCCAGCCACAGAAGUAUUAGGCAGUCACUGCUCAUGGAGGUGUGGGUCCCAGCUUUGCUGGGCCCUUCUUCCAAACUUCUAAGAAAUUAAAACUCCAGUUUCAUCCCUUUGUUCUCCAGCUCCAGAAGUGGGGCUGCUUCCUACAGUUACUGUCUCUGUGUUGAUUUUCCUGAUAUUCCCCUUUGCCUUUUCAAUUUCCAGUACCUGCUUAACCAAUUGCCUAGAUUAAAUUAUUUGUUGAAAUAACUGGUGUGGUUUCUGUAUUCCACAGCUUGAUCUGCCUGAUGAUGCAUGCCCUUAGAAGCACUGCCUGAGAAACACAUUAGGGUGUAGCCAUACCUUGUUGGCCUGCUCCAAAGAUCCCAAUCUCAGAAACCUGCCAGAAGCUCUACCAAGUCAACUUCUAUGGUAGAGAACUUGCCGGUCACAGGAGAAUCCCCUAAUCUAAAUCAAUGUUUAUAAGCAGAAGAGGAGGGUUUAAUUUGCGAAAGCCAGUAGGGACUCUAAAUCUUUCCAUCCCAAUCAAAGCUGUCAGAACCAGUUAGCAUCAGAACCAGUCAGAUGUCCCCCAAAUUGCUAUUUCUCCAGCAGCUUUCCUGUCACCAAGGAAACCACACAUUGGUGCACAGGGGCCCCAGGAACCAGACUGUAACUGAGUUGCCUGGUGUGUUUGUCAUUAUCAACUCUGCCAAAGCACAGUAUCUUUUGCAAGAAUGAUUCUCCUGCCCCAAACCCCUGCUGUCUUCUGUUUCCCAAACCGAGAAUACUUCCACCUUCAAGAAAGACAUGUGCUGGCAGGCAUGACAGGCAAUGGCAGGAGUCACUUGUUUACUCAACAACAAAUAAAGCAGAUUAUCUUCUGCAUUGGCCUUGGGACUGGCCCACACAAAUUAGAUGGCUUAAACAAUAGGAAUGAGUUGUCUCAUAGUUCUAAAGGCUAGACAUCUGAAAUUGCCAUGUUAGUAGGGCUGAUUUCUUUUGAGGGUUCUGAGGGAAGGAUUCUCCUGGGUUUGUAGAUGGCUGUCUUCUUGGUCCUGUGGGAUUCUUCUUGUCUGCGCGUCUGUCUCCAUAUUUCUCCUUGUUAUAGGGACACCAGUCAUAUUGGAUUAAGGUUCACACCAAUUUUUUUUUUAAAUUUUACACUUCGUUUUUACUUAAUCAUCUCUCUCAAGACCUUGCAUGCAAAUAAGGUCACAUUCUGAAAAACUGGGGGUUAGGACCUCAAUGUGAAAUUUUUGGGGACAUAAUUCAGUGCAGGAUUAAUAUUCCUGAGAAUUGAGGGUAGAGGAUUCUCCAACCCCUCAGAUAGGAAAAGUCUUCUGGAUAGACAAGAAAAUCCUUCUCAGUAGAAAAGUGUUGGACUUCUUUGAGUCAAGUCCUGAGUAAAUUUAUUCUAAGGUCUCCAAGACAGGAAGAUAAAAUAAAAACAAAAAGGAGUUACCAUUGAAGGAGAUGUGCUUUGCUAGUUUCUAGUGGCAGAAAUAACAGUGUAGUUCCAGUGGCCAAGGUCACCCUGGUUGCCUUCUUCAGGGGUAGCGGCAGAGGCAGAGUGGGUUCUGAAAGCAGAAAUACACAAGCAUCUUCAAAUGAUGUUCAUGCUGCAGAUUUUUUUUCAAUCCUGGCAACUAUGAAAAAUUUUUUAGGGAGUUUUGUUUACAAAUUCUGCUGACAAUGAAGUUCUGUAGGAAAGAAAGUUUAAUGGAACUUAUUAGGUAAGUUAGUGGGGGGACUGUUUUGUACAUCUCCUUGUCUUGGACAAUGGACUACCCAAAGAAAUGGAGUGGGCAAAGAACCAGGUAGGUGAUAUCAUUUAACUCUCCCCAAAGUGUUUUCUUAGCUUCUUCUUUUCAAUCCUGACCACCUUAAUAAUUUCCCAGCAGUGAUGUUUGUGUACCCUCUCCCUCAGACUCGUUUGUUGAAGCCCUAAUCUCUAUUGUGGCUGUAUUUGGUGAAAAUUUCUUUUUUCUUUUUAAAAAAUAUUUAUUUAUUUUUUUUUAGUUUUUGGCAGACACAACAUCUUUGUUUGUAUGUGGUGCUGAGGAUCGAACCUGGGCCGCACGCAUGCCAGGUGAGCGCGCUACCGCUUGAGCCACAUCCCCAGCCCUGGUGAAAAUUUCUUGACAGAAGUAGUUAAGGUUAAAUGGGUAAUGAAGGUAAUGCCCUGAUCCUAGGAGACUGGAACCCUUAUAAAAAGAGAUAACGGAGAGUUCUUUUUGCCUUUCUCUCUCUUUUUGUCUGAGCGUGCACAAGGAAAAGGACAUGUGAAGACAUGGCAAGAAGGCAGCCCUCUACAAACCAGGAAAAGUCCUCCCCUGAAACCAAAUUGGUUGACACUUCAAGUUUGGACUUCCCAGCCCCCAAAAUUGUAAGCAAUAAAUUUCUGUUGUUUAAGCCACCCAGUGUGUAGUAUUUUGGUAUAGCAAAUCAAAUGGACGAAUGCAAUUAAUUUAAGUUAUGUCUUCCCCAUUAGAAGGCAGAAACCAUGCAUCUCUAUUUCCCCAAACACCACUAUGCCUGGCAUAGUAGCUUUCAUAUGGCAGGCACUCAAUAUUUGUUGAAUGAACCAAUGAUUAGAAAAAUCAGUGGGGGCAUGGUAAGUAUUAUUAUGCUUAUUUUAAUGUGGAGAAAAUUGACAGCUAUGAAAAGAUACUUAAUACUCACAAUCUUGGGACACAAAUGCAUUUCCUAAACUAAAAUUAAUUGAAAGUGGACCAGGGCCAUAUAACAUCCUCAUUCACAAAACACAUUAAGACUUGUUUUAGUUGCUGAGGGAGGAGGGUUGUAUUAUCCUCUGCUGUCUAGUGUUCUCUCUCUCUAAUCAGGAUCAGAGAUUUGCCAAUCCACAUCUUGUUCCUCAUAAUCAAUGCUCUCAGAGUCAGCAGAUAGAUAUAAAGCUAGAGGAAUUUUUUUUUUUUUUUUUUUUUGCUAAAGGCAAGGUGAGGUACAUCAGAGGAUGAGUAUUUGGCAUCUCUGAGAGACCUCACAGGGUGGCACCACUUCUGUCCAGGGUCUAGUCUCUGCCCUGCAGGUUUAAAAACUGGAUCUGUCAGCAGACUGAGUGCACAUCCAUCUCUCAGCUUUAAUUAAUUAAGCAUGAAGAACUGAUGCAUGAAACCAGCAUGUCAAUUUAUUGAUUCACAAGAGGACUGGAACUGCCUCUGUGUCUG